rnacentral:lncRNA from 1 species
AUGGUCAUCACAGCUGAAAAAGUGCUGCACUCAAUAUGUCAGCAAAUUUGGAAAACUCAGAAGUGGCCACAGGAUGGGAAAAGGUCAGUUUUCCUUCCAAUCCCCAACAACAGCAAUACCAAAGAAUUCUCAAACUACCACACAAUUGUACUCAUAUCACAUGCUAGUAAAGUAAUGCUCAAAAUUCUCCAAGCCAGGCUUCAGCAAUACGUGAACCGUGAACUUCCAGAUGUUCAAGCUGGUUUUAGAAAAGGCAAAGGAACCAGAGAUCAAAUUGCCAACAUCCACUGGAUCAUGGAAAAAGCUAGAGAGUUCCAGAAAAACAUCUAUUUCUGCUUUAUUGACUGUGCCAAAGCCUUUGACUGUGUGGAUCACAAUAAACUGUGGAAAAUUCUGAAAGAGAUGGGGAUACCAGACCAUUUGACCUGCCUCUUGAGAAAUCUGCAUGCAGGUCAGGAAGCAACAGUUAGAACUGGACAUGGAACAACAGACUGGUUCCAAAUAGGAAAAGGAGUACGUCAAGGCUGUAUAUUGUCACCCUGCUUAUUUAACUUCAAUGCAGAGUACAUCAUGAGAAAUGCUGGGCUGGAAGAAGCACAAGCUGGAAUCAAGAUUGCCGGGAGAAAUAUCAAUAACCUCAUAUAUGCAGAUGAUACCACCCUUAUGGCAGAAAGUGAAGAGGAACUAAAGGGCCUCUUGAUGAAAAUGAAAGAGGAGAGUGAAAAAGUUGGCUUAAAUCUCAACAUUCAGAAAACGAAGAUCAUGGCAGCUAGUCUCAUCACUUCAUGGCAAAUAGAUGGGGAAACAGUGGAAAUGGUGUCAGACUUUAUUUUGGGGGUCUCCAAAAUCACUGCAGAUGGUGAUUGCAACCAUGAAAUUAAAAGACGCUUACUCCUUGGAAGGAAAGUUAUGACCAACCUAGAUAGCAUAUUCAAAAGCAGAGACAUUACUUUGCUGACUAAGGUCCGUCUAGUCAAGGCUGUGGUUUUUCCAGUGGUCAUGUAUGGAUGUGAAAGUUGGACUGUGAAGAAAGCUGAGCGCUGA